AAGAGUUAUGAAGCUUAUCAAUUGAGCCACCCAGAUGCCAACACUUGAAAAUGGUAUUUUAGGAAAGUGAGUAUGAUAUGUGGAAUGGAUUGGAUGAGGCAAGAAACUAGAGGCAAGAAGAGAACAACAGCUAUUGCUGUAAUCACUCCCAAGACACCCACAAGUUACAAGUGGAUACUGAAAAUACAACCACAUUGUGUAAGCACACACAGAAGUGUAUAUGCAGAGAAGGGGGAAAAGCAGUUCUCAUGCUCAUCUAAGAAGACAAGCUCCUUGGAUCAUUUGAAGAAUCCACCUGAAGAAUAAAUCUCUUACAGUUUUAAGCUCACUACAAUUUCUGCUCAUGCAAUGGCCAUUAAUGCCUAUUAAGUGCCAGGCACUAUAAUAAGCAAUGAGGAUACAGAGAUAAUUAAGUCCCAGUUGCUGGCCCUGGAGGCUCUCAGUCGGGGAAGUCAGAAAUGUAAAUGUUUAUGAAUCUAAUGAACUGAGUGCUAUAGAAACAUAGAAGUGUUUAAUAUAUAAACAAAAAAUUUCUAAUCUAUCUAAAUGUUAAUGUCUUACUUUCAGUUUCAAACUGUCAAAAAACUUUUUCAAACUAAAUGUCAAAUA